GGCGGGACACGUGGUAUCCUGUCUGAAUAUGGGGGGACCAUCCUCCAAGGCUAAAUACUCCUGACUGACCGAUAGUGAACCAGUACCGUGAGGGAAAGGCGAAAAGAACCCCGGCGAGGGGAGUGAAAAAGAACCUGAAACCGUGUACGUACAAGCAGUGGGAGCACGCUUAGGCGUGUGACUGCGUACCUUUUGUAUAAUGGGUCAGCGACUUAUAUUCUGUAGCAAGGUUAACCGAAUAGGGGAGCCGAAGGGAAACCGAGUCUUAACUGGGCGUUAAGUUGCAGGGUAUAGACCCGAAACCCGGUGAUCUAGCCAUGGGCAGGUUGAAGGUUGGGUAACACUAACUGGAGGACCGAACCGACUAAUGUUGAAAAAUUAGCGGAUGACUUGUGGCUGGGGGUGAAAGGCCAAUCAAACCGGGAGAUAGCUGGUUCUCCCCGAAAGCUAUUUAGGUAGCGCCUCGUGAAUUCAUCUCCGGGGGUAGAGCACUGUUUCGGCAAGGGGGUCAUCCCGACUUACCAACCCGAUGCAAACUGCGAAUACCGGAGAAUGUUAUCACGGGAGACACACGGCGGGUGCUAACGUCCGUCGUGAAGAGGGAAACAACCCAGACCGCCAGCUAAGGUCCCAAAGUCAUGGUUAAGUGGGAAACGAUGUGGGAAGGCCCAGACAGCCAGGAUGUUGGCUUAGAAGCAGCCAUCAUUUAAAGAAAGCGUAAUAGCUCACUGGUCGAGUCGGCCUGCGCGGAAGAUGUAACGGGGCUAAACCAUG
rnacentral:rRNA from 1 species